GUUCUGACAGAGAGUCUUUCCAGAAACACAUUAAAUACAUCUGGAUGACCCAUGGAAGACCACUGGAUCCACAUGGAUUGCCUCAUUGAGUGGCUGUUUGGAGUUGCUGUUUGGCGGAGACUAUCUGACACUGAAUUAAAGGUACAUAUCAUAACGGAGUCUUGGGAGAUUCAUCAUGGGUAAUUUCACAAAGGAAUCACGAGAAUGAAAAUAUGUGGUAGAGUCCAGCAUUCCACCGUCUUUAAACUUCAUCAGCCACCACUGCUUCCAUGCUUCUCAGUUUUGGGAACUGUUGGACUGACAAUGUU